rnacentral:rRNA from 1 species
GAGUUUGAUCCUGGCUCAGGAUGAACGCUGGCGGCGUGCCUAAUACAUGCAAGUCGAGCGAACGGACGAGAAGCUUGCUUCUCUGAUGUUAGCGGCGGACGGGUGAGUAACACGUGGAUAACCUACCUAUAAGACUGGGAUAACUUCGGGAAACCGGAGCUAAUACCGGAUAAUAUUUUGAACCGCAUGGUUCAAAAGUGAAAGACGGUCUUGCUGUCACUUAUAGAUGGAUCCGCGCUGCAUUAGCUAGUUGGUAAGGUAACGGCUUACCAAGGCAACGAUGCAUAGCCGACCUGAGAGGGUGAUCGGCCACACUGGAACUGAGACACGGUCCAGACUCCUACGGGAGGCAGCAGUAGGGAAUCUUCCGCAAUGGGCGAAAGCCUGACGGAGCAACGCCGCGUGAGUGAUGAAGGUCUUCGGAUCGUAAAACUCUGUUAUUAGGGAAGAACAUAUGUGUAAGUAACUGUGCACAUCUUGACGGUACCUAAUCAGAAAGCCACGGCUAACUACGUGCCAGCAGCCGCGGUAAUACGUAGGUGGCAAGCGUUAUCCGGAAUUAUUGGGCGUAAAGCGCGCGUAGGCGGUUUUUUAAGUCUGAUGUGAAAGCCCACGGCUCAACCGUGGAGGGUCAUUGGAAACUGGAAAACUUGAGUGCAGAAGAGGAAAGUGGAAUUCCAUGUGUAGCGGUGAAAUGCGCAGAGAUAUGGAGGAACACCAGUGGCGAAGGCGACUUUCUGGUCUGUAACUGACGCUGAUGUGCGAAAGCGUGGGGAUCAAACAGGAUUAGAUACCCUGGUAGUCCACGCCGUAAACGAUGAGUGCUAAGUGUUAGGGGGUUUCCGCCCCUUAGUGCUGCAGCUAACGCAUUAAGCACUCCGCCUGGGGAGUACGACCGCAAGGUUGAAACUCAAAGGAAUUGACGGGGACCCGCACAAGCGGUGGAGCAUGUGGUUUAAUUCGAAGCAACGCGAAGAACCUUACCAAAUCUUGACAUCCUUUGACAACUCUAGAGAUAGAGCUUUCCCCUUCGGGGACAAAGUGACAGGUGGUGCAUGGUUGUCGUCAGCUCGUGUCGUGAGAUGUUGGGUUAAGUCCCGCAACGAGCGCAACCCUUAAGCUUAGUUGCCAUCAUUAAGUUGGGCACUCUAAGUUGACUGCCGGUGACAAACCGGAGGAAGGUGGGGAUGACGUCAAAUCAUCAUGCCCCUUAUGAUUUGGGCUACACACGUGCUACAAUGGACAAUACAAAGGGCAGCGAAACCGUGAGGUCAAGCAAAUCCCAUAAAGUUGUUCUCAGUUCGGAUUGUAGUCUGCAACUCGACUACAUGAAGCUGGAAUCGCUAGUAAUCGUAGAUCAGCAUGCUACGGUGAAUACGUUCCCGGGUCUUGUACACACCGCCCGUCACACCACGAGAGUUUGUAACACCCGAAGCCGGUGGAGUAACCUUUUAGGAGCUAGCCGUCGAAGGUGGGACAAAUGAUUGGGGUGAAGUCGUAACAAGGUAGCCGUAUCGGAAGGUGCGGCUGGAUCACC